rnacentral:rRNA from 1 species
GACGAACGCUGGCGGCGUGCUUAACACAUGCAAGUCGAACGGAAAGGCCCUGCUUUUGUGGGGUGCUCGAGUUGCGAACGGGUGAGUAACACGUGAGUAACCUGCCCUUGACUUUGGGAUAACUUCAGGAAACUGGGGCUAAUACCGGGUAGGAGCUCCUGCUGCAUGGUGGGGGUUGGAAAGUUUCGGCGGUUGGGUAUGGACUCGCGGCUUAUCAGCUUGUUGGUGGGGUAGGGGCUUACCAAGGCUUUGCCGGGUAGCCGGCCUGAGAGGGUGACCGGCCACAUUGGGACUGAGAUACGGCCCAGACUCCUACGGGAGGCAGGAGUGGGGAAGAUUGCACAAUGGGCGGAGGCCUGAUGCAGCAACGCCGCGUGCGGGAUGACGGCCUUCGGGUUGUAAACCGCUUUUGUCUGUGACGAAGCGUGAGUGACGGUAAUGGGUAAAGAAGCACCGGCUAACUACGUG